GAAAUGCGAUAAGUAAUGUGAAUUGCAGAAUUCAGUGAAUCAUCGAAUCUUUGAACGCACCUUGCGCUCCUUGGUAUUCCUUGGAGCAUGCCUGUUUGAGUAUCAUGAAAUCUUCAAAGUAAAUCUUUUGUUAACUCAAUUGGUUUCUACUUUGGUAUUGGAGGUCUUUGCAGCUUCACACCUGCUCCUCUUUGUUCAUUAGCUGGAUCUCAGUGUUAUGCUUGGUUCCACUCGGCGUGAUAAGUUAUCUAUCGCUGAGGACACUGUAAAAGGUGGCCAAGGUAAAUGCAGAUGAACCGCUUCUAAUAGUCCAUUUACUUGUACAAUACUUUUAUGAUCUGAUCUCAAAUCAGGUAGGACUACCCGCUGAACUUAAGC
rnacentral:misc_RNA from 1 species